CUUAUGCUGGGCAACCAUUAAUCUGUUCUCCAUAAAAAUUUGUAAUUUUAAAAAUGUUUUAUAAACUGAUUUUUAUGUGAUCUGUAAUGUUUGUGAGGGUAUCUCUGUAUUAGUUUGCUAGGGCUGCCAUAAAAAAAUAGUGGGUAGCUUAAAUAACCGAAAUUUCUUUUCUCACAGUUCUGGAGGCUGGAAGUCCAAGAUCAAGGUGCUAUCAGGGUUGGUUUCGGCUGUGGCCUCUCUUCCUGGCUUGUAGACAGCUAUCUUCUCGCAGUGUCCUCACGUGGCCUCUUUGUGUGAAGUUAAAAAUGAACAGAUCAACCUUUUACUCUUCUCUGAAAAAUAUAGUGAAAUUAAUAAUCAAGAACGAUUUUCUGAAAUGAAAACAUCCGAACAGCAUACUGCAAAGACAUUCAGGGGAAAAUAAAAUAGGAAGCUGCUAAAGAAUGUGCUUGACUAAAACAAGGCAAUAAGCAAAAGGAAGUCAUAGCAUCCAGAAAAUGGGAUCCAUCAUGCGCACAAAGAAAAGGUGAAGAAAAUUUCCAGGAUGUUCAGAACCCACCAAAAACGAAAGAUUCUGGUCCAGAUCAGAAGAGAGGGAAACACUCUGAAAAAGUCCCUCAAAUACAAAAUUAAACAGAGUUUAAAUGAUGUGCUUGACCACAAUAAAAGGCUUCUUGCUCUGUAAGAUUUCUGGAAUUAAUUAGUGAUAAGCAAAGAUAAAUAUAAGCAAAUCAUCACAACAGAGUGAACACAUUCCAGUAGACCACAUGGAUGAGCUUUGGAAAAUACAGAUAUACGCAUAAUGUAAUCCCUUAAUUUCUGGGAGGCUGGAGGGAGGGAAAGUUUGAGAAGGUAAAAUGUGUGUGUUAAGAGUGGGAGUGGGUAAUAUGGUUAGGCUUUGUGUUCCCACACAAAUCUCAUCUGGAAUUGUAAUCCCCAUAAUCCCCACUUAUCAAGGGAGAAACCAGGUGGAGAUAACUGAAUCAUUGGAGGCAGUUUCCCCCAUGCUAUUCCUCUGAUAGUGAAUUCUCAUGAGAUCCAAUGAUUUUAUAACGGACUCUUCCCCCUUCACUCAGC
rnacentral:lncRNA from 10 species